rnacentral:rRNA from 1 species
GACGAACGCUGGCGGCGUGCCUAAUACAUGCAAGUCGAGCGGACCUCUUCGGAGGUCAGCGGCGGACGGGUGAGUAACACGUGGGCAACCUGCCUGUGAGACUGGGAUAACACCGGGAAACCGGUGCUAAUACCGGAUAAUCCUUUUCUUCACAUGGGGAAAAGCUGAAAGACGGUUUCGGCUGUCACUUACAGAUGGGCCCGCGGAGCAGUAGCUAGUUGGUGAGGUAACGGCUCACCAAGGCGACGAUGCGUAGCCGACCUGAGAGGGUGAUCGGCCACACUGGGACUGAGACACGGCCCAGACUCCUACGGGAGGCAGCAGUAGGGAAUCUUCCGCAAUGGACGAAAGUCUGACGGAGCAACGCCGCGUGAGCGAAGAAGGCCUUCGGGUCGUAAAGCUCUGUUGUCAGGGAAGAACACGUACCGGAGUAACUGCCGGUACCUUGACGGUACCUGACCAGAAAGCCACGGCUAACUACGUGCCAGCCGCCGCCGUAA